rnacentral:lncRNA from 1 species
CGAAAUUGAUUGGUUAAUCAUACAUUCUGAUUUCAAUUUUUACUUAAUUAAUUUCCCAUAUUUCAUGUUAAUUUGGAAACCAAUUUACAACAAAACUCAACUCUUCGCUUUCCAUUCUCUUUGUUUCUUGGAUAUUUUCACUCUUUCUGGGUAUUCGAUAAAUUUUUAAAAUUUCUCUUUUGGGUAUGUUUUUGUUGAAAUAUUUGAUCAAGAAACUAUAUCGAUCAUUCAUUUUUUGGGUAAUUUAAUGGUUGUUUUUUGCUUUAUAUUUGGGUGGUGCUUGAAUUUAUUGUUUAUACAAGAAAAAUAGAAUGAUCCAGCAAUAUGGAAGUCAAAGUGCUAGCUCGAGCUCGCAUUCGAAUAGCAGUUCGCAGGAUACAGAGGAUGAUCAUACAAUUGCAGAAAUAUUAGCAGAAGAAGAAAGAUUAAAUUAUGAUGGCAGACUUGGCAAGAGGCUUUCUCAUUUGGAUUCGAUCCCGGUAUUUUAAUAUAUUAUCAUCAAUUCCUCAAAUUUCUCCCUUAUUGAAUCCUAAUAAUGAAAUUAUUGUUAAAUAAAUGGAGAUCAUGAACUUGAAUAUGUUGUCCGUAUGCUCCUUAAGUAGUCUUUCUUGAUUAUCAUUCUCUUGUCUUGUGGUUGAUGAUUUUUCUAAUUUGUUUACUUUCUGCAAAACGUUCAAGAAUUUGCAUAUUGCUUAACUAGGAAUAUGGAAUGUACUGCAGUUUAUUAUGUCGAAACUUGCAAGAAUCUGCCUAUUGUUUAACGAGGAUUCUGAAUCAUACUGCAUUUUAUACUGUUAAAAUAACAUAUAAUGAGUGCGCCGAAUGAGGAAAACUCAAUACUGCUAAGCAAUUUGUGUUGGGCGAUUUUGGCUAUACAUAAGCUUACAAAUUCACGGAAUUUUUCAGCAUACGCCUUGGGUAAUUGGUGAUACACCUGAUCCAAAUGAUGCACCCUUAUACCAUGGGAGGCUUGCUGAGAGGUUAUAAUUUUUUUCUUUAAUCUCGUUUUUGUUUUACAUUCUGUAAUUUUUUCUUGUACUUGUUACUCUUUAUUAUUUUAGGAUAUAUUUUAAGGACAUUUAUGGAGAGAGAAAUUGAAAAUAUUCCCAAUGUUUAUAAUUCUUUCAAUUGUCUCUUUUUUUCGAAAAUCCUAAAAUAGUUUUUUCCUUCUCCUCCUCCUCAUUCUUCUUCUCCACUACUUGUACUCCUAUUCUCCCAGUUUUAAAAUAAGAGCAUCUGAUGACUGGCUUACAUUCUUUGUUCUUUUGCUUAUGGAAACAAGAUACUGAAAAAAAGAAAACAAACAAUAAAGUAAGUAGGAGAAAAAGAAAGAAUUGAUACCAGGAAUAAUAGAAUAAAUGGGAAGAAGGUAGGAACAAUUAUUGCAAUUUUUUGUUUACGAAAGAAAAAUUUUCCCAAUUGAUUGUUGUAGGGACUAUACUGAAUUAUUUAGAAAUAAUUAUAGAGAGUUGUUGCAGUAAUUAAGGAUAUAAUGGGAUGCAAAAGGGUGUGGGAUGGAAGAGGAAUUUUUUACAAUGAGAAGUAUGCUUUGAAUUUUACGAACUUGAGUUUGGAGAGUUGAUGGUCAGUUUUGAAGAAUUCCUCUUACUAUUUCUAUCCUGUCAGGAUUUCGAUAAAACUAUAAAAUAUUUUGGCAUAUUACUAAAUAUAGUUAAAUAGAUUCAAGAAGCCUUUAUUAUUUUUUCAGCUUCGGUAGCCAUAUGAGUUUUGAAGUUGUUGCAAUAAUGGUUUAAUGGGUCCUUCUUCACCAUUUUUCUUUGAGAACUUCUUGACUAUAUAUAAAAUGCACGUUUUUUCUUUUAGUCUUUUGCAUGUUUGCUUUGAUGAGUCCUUUUUCAACAUUAUUCUUCUUCGAGAGCAUCUUUUCUAUAUCUGAUAUGAAUAUGUCUUUUCGUUUUAUUUUUUGGCAUGUCUGUUCACUAUUGCCUGUAGAGGAUGGAGGGGUUUUUUUUAAACCUGGUCAUAUGGAUGUGCAGGAUUGUGAUAUUACUGUUUGAUCGUUCGAACGUUCCAUAUUUUUGUUAAUGGAUACUUCUUUCUUGAAAGGCUUUCCUUAACAUAGCUGUCAUUCAGGUUGACAACAUAGGGGUUAGCUGAAUUACAAAUCCAGGGAGAUGGGAAUUGCCAGGUUUGUCUCUCUUGACUAGUCUAAUUAUUGUUAAAUUGUCUAAUUGUACCGAGGAGUUUAUGGAAAUAGUAUCUAGUUAUGCCAAUAUUGUUACCAGUAUUUUUGAUGGAAAGCAGCAAGGAUAAAUUGAAAAUGUUACCAUGCUUCGGGUUGUUUUGUUCAAUUUAUAUCAGUUUACUGUUACUUUUUUGCAUGUUCGGCUAAGCUUGAAAAUAAGUGAAAAGUACUUUUCAUUAACUUAUUGUUUCCAACCAUAACAGUUAAAGGAAUUAUUUAUUUAAAACUUAUUUACUUAUAACUUUUUAAGCUUAGUCAAUCGUGCUCUUUGUUAUGCAAUUUCAAAUUUAUCUUAAGUUACCCUUAUUUGGGACCUUGGUGAGGUAUAUACCUGCAAGGCCAUUCUACAGUUUUGUUGCUGCCAAUGAGUGACAAUCAAAUCUAUUUGACUUACUUGACAGUUUCGAGCCCUCGCAGAUCAGUUGUUAAAAAAUCCCGAUUACCAUAAGCAUGUAAGAAAGCAGGUCAUCAAAUAGGUGUACUUCAGAUAACUUCUCAUGCAUUGACUUAUUCCAAUCCUAAUCUUAGUGUAGUGAUUGAUGAGGAUGCUAAAUAAAAAACUUAAAUUAACUUAAUUAAAUUACUGUGUUCCCACUCACAUUUUCUGUAAAAAAAAGGAAAAAUUUCUAAUUAGCUAUUCAACCUUGACAUAUAUCAUGUUAUUCAAAUCCUAGUUCAACCUCGGUUGAACCUUUACCUUUUGCAGUCAAUGCUUAGGUAGGUUUAAAAAAACAUUCAUCUUCUAGUAUUAUUUUGACAAGUGGGUGCUUUUUUUCACUUUUGCACGUUAUUUGUCAUGCACUAGCUACAUAUUAAGGUUUCACCAUACAAAUUGUGUCUAAACCUUGUAUUAUCAAGACUGCUGUUAACAUUCCUGAAGACCAUCUUUUAGUUCAGAGUCAAAUACAUCAAGAAAACUGAAUAGCUAAACUCCAUCAUCUCUCAAAAAUAUUAUAAUUUACUGUAAUAAUAAUUGCCUGAAGAAUUAAAGCAGCUCCAAAAAUAGAAUUUUCAAAUUUGAUGCUCAAUUCAGAUACUUGAGCUAUAGAUUAGCAGACCAAAAUAAUUGAAAAUUAACUGAUUUUUUGAAUGCUUUAAAGAUUUUCAAAAUGAACAUGUUUUCAUUUGGUGUGGAGUUCAAGGACUUGUACUUUCUCAGUCAUGGGUCGGGACACCUCAAACUAAUAAACAAUUUCCUAAAAGAAAUUCUUCAUCUCAUUAUUCUAACUAUACUUGUGAUAUCGUAGCUUAUUCUGGUUUUUUUUUUCAUAUUUUUUAAGUUAAAAAACACAUGACCUCUCAUCACUUUACUUUGCAUGUCAAAGAAUAUAAAUUCAAACUAGAGAUUCAAUAAUCUCGUAACCAACAUUAUCUCUCACUCAGUCAUUAUUCAGAUUGUUCCGAAUCUUCUGAGGUAAUAUAGGUUUGUCCAAUAAUGUAAGAGUUCAAUGACAUGUGUAGCUAAAUUUAGAAGAAAUAGCAACUAUGCAAAUCUUGGAAGCUACCGUUAUCCAUAUUCAAGUGUCUUAUUGAAACUAGUUUUUAUGAUGUACAAUAUAACACUUAACACAUGUUAACAUAUGACACAAGAUUAUGGAUUGGUUCAGACGAGAUAGGUAUGGUUAGACAAUAAGCUUUUGAAAACAAGUUUUGUGGUAUGAAAAUGCAUUCAAUAUUCUUAUUUCUUCCCUGUCCAUAUCAUAUCAGUUUGUAAAAUUUCAUACGUUCAAAGUGCAGUUUGUAAUUUGACAAUGAUAAUUAUCACUUGAUUUUCCAAGAUAUUUAGAUGGUCUUCUGAAGAGGUUCUCUUCCCCCACCCCAACUUCAUGACCUGCGAAAUCCAGUGAUUUCUAAGUAACAAAGCUAAUAACCUUUGUUACCUGUCAUUUCACCUGUGGUGCCAAAUUCAGAAUUUUUAUCUUUCAACAACUCAUCACCAUGACCCGACACAGUAGAAUUUUAAGCAUAUUGACAUUUGAAAUUUUAUCCUUUCGAUCAGAUCAGUGAUCUUCGCUCGUAACAUACCAUAAUAAUUUCCAAUAACGGGUUUCUCUUGGUUAGUGUCUCAGCAUUACUAAUAUUUUCCAUUUACAACUGUUUCUUAAAUUUUUUCCUUAGAUUAUGAUCUCAGAUGUACUUGCAUUAUGCAUCGCUUCUGAAAUUGCAUCUUCUUUUUCUCAUUUUAGUUUCUUGAUUUCCUUUCAGUUAAAACGUCACAAAAAGCUCUAUGAAGGUUAUGUCCCCAUGAAGUACAAAAGCUACACGAAGAAGAUGAAAAAUUCAGAUACCUAGACUUUGGGUAACAGUUUUCUCCUCAUUUGACGGGGUAAUUUUCAUUGACAUGAUUUUAAUUUCAUCAGGCUGGGGGAGUGGGAGAUCACGUUAUUCUACAAGCAGCUGCAGACCAAGUAAGUUAAAAAUUUUGAUCAUAAAUAUUCUAAUGCUCAAAGCUCAAAGUAUCUCUUUUUCCUCAUACUUUAUUGCAACUUAGUAUGUUCAUGUUAGUAGAUACAAAUAGGUUUCAUAAGAGUGAUACGGUCUCAGUAGAACAUGUUAGAGGGAGAUGUAGAUUGUUUAAGGAUUUUAACUUUUUUUGGAUUUUCCAGUAGUUCUAGCUAUGUAUUGAACGGAGCGGCGAAAAAGGAUGUAGUCAACUCAAAUCUAUUGGGAAUAAGGCUUAGUUUGUUGUUAUCUGUAUAUUGUUCAUCUCACUUGGAAUAUAUAAGGAAUGUCCUGUCUGUUUUUAAGGAUGUAAAUUAGGAAAGACAAGCCAAGCUGAGUGCUAGGGUGUCCAAUGUUUUGAUUUCUUAUCAAAUUAAAUAUUUUUUUUUAACCUUGGUUUAUUUAUAACAAGCCAAUUAGAGGCAAGCUCGAAUAUUUCUUGCACAUCUAUUUAACUUGUAUGACUUGGCAGGACAAGCUAAAUGAAUUGGCUAGCCUAAAAUCUUGAAUAAGCACGAUUUGUCAUUUUGUGAACUAAUCUAUAUCUAGCUCUUAAUGAACAAAUAUUUAGGAGUUGAAAAGCAUCCAUUAAGUGCCUAAUGUUAUGAACAUUUGUUGGAAAUAUUGGCACACAUAUGACAAACGCACUAUUGAAUUUACUCUUCCAAGUUAGACAAUAUUAGUACUGCAUUAUUUUAGCAUCAUUGUCUGUUAUUUUUUGUCACUAAAUUGAUCUAUGCUUUUUUGUGUACCAUCUUAUAUUGGCACCUGAUUAUUUUGAACUUUCUAUAGUUUGAAGCAAAAAUUGCUAUAUUGAAAUCCUUCCUAAGGAAAAAAUCCAUCCAGAUGCAUGCAUAGUGUAUUCUUUAAUCUUGUUUUUACAUUUCUUCUUCUUCUUCAAUGCUAUUUUUUUUUCUCUUACGAUUUUUAUGACGUUCGACUGAAGAAGGAAAAAAAAUGAAAGGUGUAGAAAUCCCAAGAAUCAUGGGAUUAAAUGUGUUGUAUACCUUAUUUGAUUCAGGCAAGUUUAUUUUUCAUUUUUCAGGAGAUUAUAUUCCUUCUUUAUACCACAUUCUUGUAUUAUAAAUAGGAUCCCAUAAUAGUGUCUCAAUCAUCAAUAAAUAAAACAGAAAUUUCCUAACUGCUCUAUUUACAUGGUAUCGAUUUGAACUUUGACGAGGAAUGGGGCUGUGCAGAUAACGGCGUUCAGUAUAGGAGGAAGCUAGAACAUGAACAGGUUUAUGAAUUUGUGGCUGGACUCAAUAACGACCUUGACGAUGUGAGGGGAAGGAUCCUCCAUCGCUACCCUCUGUCGUCGAUGCGAGAGGUGUUUUUGGAGGUGCGGAGAGAAGAAAACUGGCGACUCAUGACGCUUAAGGAUAAGAUAAUUGGGCUAGAAGACGCUUAAGCCCUUUUGUCUAAUGAAAUUGGGCCUAAUGGGUUAGCUCAAUUUAAACAAAGUGGUAUUCAAGAAAUGGGCCAGCUUCAUGGGUCUACAGCAAUUGGAUCAAAGUAAUUGGGCCUUAAUGGAUCUGCUUUAAUAUCUAGAGGACCAAUUGUAAAUAAGCGAAGCCCAAAACGACAAAGAGAACGUCCAUGGGUGACCAUUGUCGUAAAUCGGGGCACAAAGAAGAUAAUUGUUGGGAUAUACACAAAACCAAUUGAUAGAAAAUCAAGACAAAACACAAAAAAUUGUGACUGUCAAGCAUCGGUUGAUUCUACUGAGAUAAAAAAUAACUCCACUUCAAGCGGUGUGCUUAAUGCAGAGCAAUUGGAACAACUCUACAAAAUGUUCUCUAGACUCCGAACUUCUGGACCAUUAAGUUCUCUAGCCCGCAAAGAUAAUUUUUUUUAGAGUACUAAAUACCAUUGCACAGUCUGAUUCUCCUUGGAUUAUUGACUCCGAAGCAUCCGACCACAUGACAUACUAUUUCCUCCUUUUUUCAUCAUAUUCAUUGUGUGCUAACAAUAUUAUAGUGAAAAUUGCAUAUAACUUAUUUUCAACGAUGGAGGGAAAAUGGAGUAUUCGAAUUUCUAACUAUAUAACAUUAGAGUACGUUUUUCAUGUUCCAAAUCUAUUCUGCAAUUUAUUGUAAAUUAGCAGGUUAACAAAAAGCUCCAAUUUUUGCUAUAUUCCUCCAUUCUCGUUGGUUUUUCAAGAUCUAUUUUUGGGAAAGACGAUUGGUAGUGUUAAAGAGUGUGAGGGACUCUACUACUUUGAUGAAGUCAAUGUGAGUAAACAUUAUCAAAUUUCAAAUUGUGGUUUUGCAUUUGUCCCCAAGGAUAACGAAAUUAUGCUAUGGGAUUUUAGAAUUGCUCAUUUUAACUUUCAGCACCUAAAAUGUGUUUAUCCUUCCAUUUUCAUAUAAAACGUCUAUUGAUCUUAAAUUUAUGAGUUGGCAAAACAUCAACAUUUCCCGUUCCCAAGAUCUACGUACAAACCAUACAAACCAUUCAUUGUAAUCUAUAGUGAUCUAUGGGGUCCUUUACGAACCACUAAUUGCACUUACAAAAAUUGGUUAGUGACAUUUAUUGACGACCAUACUCGCAUUUUUUUUGGUUUUAUGUACUAAAAGAAAAAAAUCGAAGUCGAAUCUAUAUUCAUCAACUUCCACUCUAUGGUGCAAACUCAAUACCAAACAAAUAUUCAAAUUCUAUGCAUUGAUAAUGGCACAAAAUACUUUAAUGCCACUCUCUGAGACUACCUUCAAGAACAUGAAAUAAUUUACCAAAGUUUUUGUGUUGACAUCCGCAACAAAAUGGGGUUUUUUCAAAUGAAGAAACAUGCACCUUCUAGAAGUUGGUCAUGUUUUGAUGUUUACCAUAAAUGUGCCCAAACUAUUCUGGGGAGGUGCCACUUUAACAUCCACUUAUCUCAUAAAUACGAUGCCUAGUCGUACUCCCUUGUUUGAUUCUCCUCUCAAAAAAAUUUAGAAUUACUUCCCUAAUUCGUGCCUCGAUUUUAACUUAUCUCUCAAAGUGUUUAUAUGUACUGCUUUUAUCCAUGUGUAUCCCCAUCGUCGAAGUAAACUCGAUCCACAUUCAUCUAAGUGUGUCUUUAUUUGAUAUUCACCAACUCAAAAAGAUUACAAAUGCUAUGAUCCGUCCACAAAAAAUGUGUUUGUCAGCCUUGAUAUCACAUUCUUUGAAAAGACAUCUGAUUUCAACAAACCCUCUCUUUAGGGAGAGAAUGUGAGUGAAGGUCGUUUUUUGGACUUUGAUCUCUCUUCUCUUUCUCAUUCGGAACCCGUCACACCAUCUAACAUGCCAUUUACAUAAGGAAAUUCGAAAUCAAAGGGAGACGUAGAAAAAAAAAAUGAUAAGGAGAUAUUAGUUUACUCAAAAAAGUCAAAAUCAAAGUACAAGGAGAAUCUCAUUCUUGAAGCACCAUGAGAGUUGGAACCAAUGGUAGCUCCAGAUGUCCAUAAGGACACGUUUGAGAGUGAUCUAUCUACCUUUGAGAGUGAUCUAUCACUUACCUUAAUAAAUAGACUCGAUCAUGUAUUGUGCACACUAUCUCAAAAUUCGCAUCUUAUAAUGCUUUGUCUACAAAAUUUCUUGCUUUUUCCUCUAACCUUGAUAGUAAAAAAUUCGCAUCUUCAAAAUUCGACUUCUCUUAUCUCUAACAGCUAACUUGGAUUGGCCCCUUCAACAACUUGACAUUAAAAAUUCAUCCAUCAAUGGGGAAUCUGAAGAGGAAAUCUUCAUGACAUUACCACUGAGUUUUUGUAGAAGAAAUGAAAAGAACAAGGUUUGUAAACUAAAAUAUUCUGUAUACGACCUUAAAUAGUUACCAAGAGCAUGGUUCGAUAGAUUUGCAAAAGUGUUGAAAUGUUAAGGAUAUCAAUAAGGACAAUCAGGUCAUACUAUAUUCUUCCAAAUAUCUGAAGAUGGCAAGAAGACAAUUUUAAUUGUAUAUGUCGAUGACAUAAUUCUAAUUGGAGACAAUACAGUGGAAAUGGAAAGAUUGAAGAUAAGCCUAGCUACAGGGUUCGAAGUGAAAGAUCUGGGACAAAUGUGAUACUUCUUGGGAAUGGAAUUUGCUAGGGGCUUGUUUGAGCCACAUUAUUUUAAAAAAAAAUACAUUUUUCAACAGUGAUUUGAUAUAAUUUUAACCAUACAUUCUUCAAUAAAAUAAUAGUACACGUAAAUUUAAAACAUUUCAUAAUUUUUGACCACAUAUUUUUUAUUGAUUUGACAUGAAUAAUGUAUUUUUCCUAGAAUGUGGCUCAAACAUGGGCUAGAUAAAAAAGAGAAUUAGUAUUUCUCAAAGGAAAUAUGUGCUUGAUGUCCUAAUUGAAAUUGGCAUGCUAGGAUGCAAACCAAGUGACACCUAUAAAUGGAGGAAGAAAAUUAUAGGACGGUGAAAAACCAGUUGAAAAGGAUCAUUAUCAAAGUCUAGUACAAACCAAACUUUGCAUUUGCAAUUAGUGUGGUAAUUCAACAUAUGUAUUCUCCAAAGGAAGCAUACUUAGAAGCAAUAUACAGAAUUCUUAGAUAUCUAAAAGGCUCUCCAGGAAAGGGACUCUUCUUCAAAAAGAGUGAAAGUGAUGAGGACAUCUACUUUUUAUUUAUAUUUAGUUGGAAUUUAUUUAUGUUUUAGAUUUUAUUUAUGUAAUUGGGCUUGUGUUGGCCCAAAUCCAUUCUAUUUAGGGUUUUAGUCUUUACUAUUUAAACCUAAUUGCGAUUUAAUUUCAUUAGUUUUGAUGAAUUGAAGAAUAUUUUGGUGGUUUGUUGCUUAUGGCUUCUCCUUCCUCUCCCCCAUGAAUUUCUGCUUCUUCUCCGGUUUCUCCUCCCAUUCUCUUCGGUUCUCCCAUCUUUCUUGCUUCUUUUUUUUAUUUUUUUAAUUCGUCAUGCAUCAAAUUUGGUUUUAGAGCCAAAUUUUGAGUAAUUUUUCA